CACGUAGGGGGCGAGCGUUGUCCGGAAUCAUUGGGCGUAAAGAGCUCGUAGGCGGCUCAGUAAGUCGGGUGUGAAACCCUCAGGCUCAACCUGGGGACGCCACCCGAUACUGCUGUGGCUAGAGUCCAGUAGGGGAGUGUGGAAUUCCCGGUGUAGCGGUGAAAUGCGUAGAUAUCGAGAGGAACACCUGCGGCGAAGGCGGGUUGCUGGGCCGACACUGACGCUGAUGCGCGAAAGCCAGGGGAGCGAACGGG
rnacentral:rRNA from 1 species